CCUACGGGAGGCAGCAGUGGGGAAUAUUGCACAAUGGGGGAAACCCUGAUGCAGCGACGCCGCGUGAGUGAAGAAGUAAUUCGUUAUGUAAAGCUCUAUCAGCAGGGAAGAAAAUGACGGUAUCUGAGUAAGAAGCCCCGGCUAACUACGUGCCAGCAGCCGCGGUAAUACGUAGGGGGCAAGCGUUAUCCGGAUAUACUGGGUGGAAAGGGAGCGUAGACGGCAGUGCAAGUCUGGAGUGAAAGGCGGGGGCUCAACCCCCGGACUGCUCUGGAAACUGUACGGCUGGAGUGCAGGAGUGGUAAGUAGAAUUCCUAGUGUAGCGGUGAAAUGCGUAGAUAUUAGGAGGAACACCAGUGGCGAAGGCGGCUUACUGGACUGUAACUGACGUUGAGGCGCGAAAGCGUGGGGAGCAAACAGGAUUAGAUACCCCUGUAGUC
rnacentral:rRNA from 1 species